rnacentral:rRNA from 1 species
GAUGAACGCUGGCGGCGUGCCUAAUACAUGCCAGUCGAGCGAACAGACGAGGAGCUUGCUCCUCUGACGUUAGCGGCGGACGGGUGAGUAACACGUGGAUAACCUACCUAUAAGACUGGGAUAACUUCGGGAAACCGGAGCUAAUACCGGAUAAUAUAUUGAACCGCAUGGUUCAAUAGUGAAAGACGGUUUUGCGGUCACUUAUAGAUGGAUCCGCGCCACAUUAGCUAGUUGGUAAGGUAACGGCUUACCAAGGCAACGAUGCGUAGCCGACCUGAGAGGGGGAUCGGCCACACUGGAACUGAGACAGGGUCCAGACCCCUAGGGGGGGCGGCAGUAGGGAAUCUUCCGCAAUGGGCGAAAGCCUGACGGAGCAACGCCGCGUGAGUGAUGAAGGUCUUCGGAUCGUAAAACUCUGUUAUUAGGGAAGAACAAAUGUGUAAGUAACUAUGCACGUCUUGACGGUACCUAAUCAGAAAGCCACGGCUAACUACGUG